GACGAACGCUGGCGGCAUGCCUAAUACAUGCAAGUCGAACGCUUUUUCUUUCACCGGAGCUUGCUCCACCGAAAGAAAAAGAGUGGCGAACGGGUGAGUAACACGUGGGUAACCUGCCCAUCAGAAGGGGAUAACACUUGGAAACAGGUGCUAAUACCGUAUAACACUAUUUUCCGCAUGGAAGAAAGUUGAAAGGCGCUUUUGCGUCACUGAUGGAUGGACCCGCGGUGCAUUAGCUAGUUGGUGAGGUAACGGCUCACCAAGGCAACGAUGCAUAGCGGAACUGAGAGGGUGAUCGGCCACGCUGGGACUGAGACACGGCCCAGACUCCUACGGGAGGGAGCAGUAGGGAAUCUUCGGCAAUGGACGAAAGUCUGACCGAGCAACGCCGCGUGAGUGAAGAAGGUUUUCGGAUCGUAAAACUCUGUUGUUAGAGAAGAACAAGGGUGAGAGUAAAAUGUUCAUCCCUUGACGGUAUCUAACCAGAAAGCCACGGCUAACUACGUGCCAGCCGCCGCAGUAA
rnacentral:rRNA from 1 species